rnacentral:rRNA from 1 species
GAUGAACGCUGGCGGCGUGCCUAAUACAUGCAAGUCGAGCGAACUGAUUAGAAGCUUGCUUCUAUGACGUUAGCGGCGGACGGGUGAGUAACACGUGGGCAACCUGCCUGUAAGACUGGGAUAACUUCGGGAAACCGAAGCUAAUACCGGAUAGGAUCUUCUCCUUCAUGGGAGAUGAUUGAAAGAUGGUUUCGGCUAUCACUUACAGAUGGGCCCGCGGUGCAUUAGCUAGUUGGUGAGGUAACGGCUCACCAAGGCAACGAUGCAUAGCCGACCUGGGAGGAUGGUCCCCCACACUGGCACUGAGAUACGGGCCAGACUCCUACGGGAGGCAGCAGUAGGGAAUAUUGGGCAAUGGACGCAAGUCUGACCCAGCCAUGCCGCGUGCAGGAAGAGGGUCCUCUGGAUUGUAAACUGCUUUAGACGGGGAAGAAUAAGGGCGAUGCGUCGUCUGAUGACGGUACCCGUAGAAUAAGCACCGGCUAACUACGUGCCAGCAGCCGCAGUAAGAC